rnacentral:rRNA from 1 species
UACGGAGGGUGCAAGCGUUGCUCGGAAUUAUUGGGCGUAAAGGGCAAGUAGGUGGUCUCAUUUGUCUGGGGUGAAAGCCUUGAGCUUAACUCAAGAAGUGGCCCGGAAACGGUGAGACUCGAGUACUGGAGAGGGUCGUGGAAUUCCCGGUGCAGCGGUGAAAUGCGUAGAGAUCGGGAGGAACACCUGAGGCGAAGGCGGCGACCUGGACAGUUACUGACACUCAACUGAAAGCGUGGGGAGCAAACAGG